AUUGAACGCUGGCGGCAGGCCUAACACAUGCAAGUCGAACGAGUGGCGGACGGGUGAGUAAUGUCUGGGAAACUGCCUGAUGGAGGGGGAUAACUACUGGAAACGGUAGCUAAUACCGCAUACCAUCAGAUGUGCCCAGAUGGGAUUAGCUAGUGGGUGGGGUACCGGCUCACCAAGGCGACGACCCCUAGCUGGUCUGAGAGGAUGACCAGCCACACUGGGACUGAGACACGGUCCAGACUCCGACGGGAGGCAGCAGGGGGGAAUAUUGCACAAUGGGCGCAAGCCUGAUGCAGCCAUGCAGCGUGUAUGAAGAAGGCCUUCGGAUUGUAAAGUACUUUCAGCGGGGAGGCGUUACCCGCAGAAGAAGCACCGGCUAACUCCGUGCCAGCAACCGCGGGAAUAC
rnacentral:rRNA from 1 species